GUUGAGCGAACCCCACCCCCAGAAACCCCAGCAGGGUUACUAUGAAGAUAUGCAAAGGGAAACGAACCCCCUUCUCCAAUAGAGUCACAGGAACGGCCGUCCAACCUUCUGGCCGUUGGUACAUCUUCUCACCGGAUCUAGGAACCCUAGCUGCGUGGGUAUCCGGGAUGUGGUAUCGAGACCGAAUCCUCUUUAGUUCAGCCUCUGUGACAAUCGAGGGAGUAUUGGCGUGCGAGAAUCGCUCAGUAUUCCUGUAGUAUUCGGAGGGG
rnacentral:lncRNA from 1 species